UACAGAGGGUGCAAGCGUUGUUCGGAAUUAUUGGGCGUAAAGAGCUCGUAGGCGGUUUGUCGCGUCGUUCGUGAAAACUCCACGCUUAACGUGGAGCGUGCGGGCGAUACGGGCAGACUUGAGUUCGGUAGGGGAGACUGGAAUUCCUGGUGUAGCGGUGAAAUGCGCAGAUAUCAGGAGGAACACCGGUGGCGAAGGCGGGUCUCUGGGCCGAUACUGACGCCGAGGAGCGAAAGCAUGGGGAGCGAACAGG
rnacentral:rRNA from 1 species